GUGGGGAAUAUUGGUCAAUGGGGGCAACCCUGAACCAGCCAUGCCGCGUGAAGGAUGAAGGCGUUAUGCGUUGUAAACUUCUUUUGUAUGGGAAGAAUGACAGGGAUUCAUCCUUGGAGAGACGGUACCAUACGAAUAAGCACCGGCUAACUCCGUGCCAGCAGCUGCGGUAAUACGGAAGGUGCAAGCGUUAGUCGGAAUUAUUGGGCGUAAAGGGUGCGUAGGCGGAAAAGCAAGUCGGACGUGAAAUUCUGGGGCUCAACCUCAGAGCUGCAUCCGAAACUGCUUUUCUAGAGGAUUGGCGGAGAAAACGGAAUUCCAUGUGUAGCGGUGAAAUGCGUAGAUAUAUGGAAGAACACCUGUGGCGAAAGCGGUUUUCUAGCCUCCUCCUGACGCUGAGGCACGAGAGCAAGGGGAGCAAACAGGAUUAGAAACCCUUGUAGUCC
rnacentral:rRNA from 1 species